CCCCUUCUUCCUCCUCGGGCAGAACUGUAGCUCGCAACCACCUUCCAUUGCAGCCCAUCUUGGAGGUCCAGAUUUUUCAAAAUACAAGGGGGGAGGUUUUGAUCUUCAUUUCUUGGAAGGAGGUGGCUAAGAAAGGUUAGUUGAUGCCUCUAAUGCCUCUUUUUGUGCCCUCUUGCUCAAUUUGAGCUACUUUUUGGAUCUAGGGUUUCACCAUGAGAGGGAGAGAGUAGAAUAGCUAGGUAUGGUCUAUUUUGCUCAAAUAAAGUUGCUUAAGAUGGAUAUAUGAUGUCUCUCCUAUCUUCUUUUUUAUGUUUCCUUCUCUAAUUUGUGAAUCCAAGAAAUAUAUAUGUAGUAGUUUCCAUGAAUGGUGUUUCCAUGCUUGGGAAGGGAGAGAAAGAUAAGUUUUCUUUUUAGUUUUUUAAAUUAUAUGGUUUAGGAUGUUAUUUUUUAUGUAAAUUUGAUUUAAUUAUGCGAUAAGCAUUUUUUAUAUAUGAGGUUGCUUCAGAUGUUGCCUCUCCUCUCACCAUUUCCAUGUUUCCUUCUCAAAUUUUUUAGUGAUAUAAUAUAUUUAGUUUCAAUCAACAGUGGCCACUAACUUGUCUGCAUUUCCACCUCUGACAUAGACAAGUCCUAGAUCAAUGGUGCCUCUCAAAUAUCUCAGAAUCUGUUUCACAGCCUUGGCAUGCAUAACAGUUGGCUUCUCCAUAAAUCUGCUAGCCAACCCAACAGAGU
rnacentral:lncRNA from 1 species